GCUGAGAAGAAAUGAAUCUAUUCUGCUGAAACUUCCCAGUGAAUUCAGAUGUUUAACUGGACACCAAAUCACUGCAGGAUGAUGAUGCUUAAAGACAGAAAUGCAUUUUUCAAAGCUUUUCAAGGUGGACAGGAAAAGGUGACAGCUAAACCCAGAUCUUUUUCAAAACUGAAGCCAGGAGAAUGCCCAACAUCCCAGAUUUCUGUCCAACAGUAGGAUAAGGCAAGAGUCUGCAGAAUACAUCUAAUGAAUUAAGAUUUGCUAAUCAGACAAUCAGAAUAUUAGUUUUAAGAAGAUUAACUAUGCCUCAUACUUGGAGGGGUAAUAAGAAGUUGAUCCUAAGGAGAUGAGAAGCAAUUUGAAGUUGCCAUACCCUGAAGGAGAAGCAGUGAUCUUCCACCUGUGUGGAAGAGCCUGAGCCUGAGCCUGGACCUGGAGAAGCCAAUGAAGAGAGAGAAAAGCAGCCAAGGUUCAGAUGGAUGCAGCAGUGAAUAGGAGGGAAUUUCAUGGCCCUCCACUGAGACCAGUCCAGGCUCUUCCCUGAGCACUUCCAGCUUGUGAAAUACAAGAACUUGCAGGCUUGGAAGGAAAAAUCUCCAGCAGACCAUGCUGUGGACUCCUGCUGUGAUUUUUGGAGACAUGACCAUCACCAGAGGGAAUUGAUGUAAUGUCCCAGCAAAGGAAGAACAGACUCAUGUCUCUCUCUGCCUUUCCUGACACCCUCUCUUCCAAGUCAGCUGUUUUGUACAGGGUAUAAAUUAGGGUAGAACUUGGCACAGGGCUUUCAUUCACUCAUGUUGAAAACUUCUGCCCUAGAAGUUAUUCUUGGAGAAGAAUCAUGACUAGCUGUCAGAUCCAUUUGCAGUGCAACUCCACUGAAGAUAUUGAAGUUAUACCAGGAUUUAACUUGGCAUAUGAACCAAGACU